UGGCUCAGGACGAACGCUGGCGGCGUGCUUAACACAUGCAAGUCGAACGGUAAGGCCCUUCGGGGUACACGAGUGGCGAACGGGUGAGUAACACGUGGGUGAUCUGCCCUGCGCUUCGGGAUAAGCCUGGGAAACUGGGUCUAAUACCGGAUAGGACUCCUGGCUUCAUGGUUGGGGGUGUAAAGCUUUUGCGGUGUGGGAUGGGCCCGCGGCCUAUCAGCUUGUUGGUGGGGUAAUGGCCUACCAAGGCGACGACGGGUAGCCGGCCUGAGAGGGUGACCGGCCACACUGGGACUGAGAUACGGCCCAGACUCCUACGGGAGGCAGCAGUGGGGAAUAUUGCACAAUGGGCGCAAGCCUGAUGCAGCGACGCCGCGUGAGGGAUGACGGCCUUCGGGUUGUAAACCUCUUUCAAUAGGGACGAAGCGCAAGUGACGGUACCUAUAGAAGAAGGACCGGCCAACUACGUG
rnacentral:rRNA from 1 species